AUUGCCUCAGUAACGGCGAGUGAAGCGGCAAGAGCUCAAAUUUGAAAUCUGGCCCCUCCGGGGUCCGAGUUGUAAUUUGCAGAGGAUGCUUCGGGUGCGGCCCCUGUCUAAGUGCCCUGGAACGGGCCGUCAGAGAGGGUGAGAAUCCCGUCUUGGGCAGGGUGCCCGUGCCCGUGUGAAGCUCCUUCGACGAGUCGAGUUGUUUGGGAAUGCAGCUCUAAAUGGGUGGUAAAUUUCAUCUAAAGCUAAAUACCGGCCGGAGACCGAUAGCGCACAAGUAGAGUGAUCGAAAGAUGAAAAGCACUUUGAAAAGAGAGUUAAACAGCACGUGAAAUUGUUGAAAGGGAAGCGCUUGCGACCAGACUCGGCCCUGGGGUUCAGCCAGCACUCGUGCUGGUGUACUUCCCCAGGGGCGGGCCAGCGUCGGUUUGGGCGGCCGGUCAAAGGCCCCAGGAAUGUAUCGCCCUCCGGGGCGUCUUAUAGCCUGGGGUGCAAUGCGGCCAGCCCGGACCGAGGAACGCGCUUCGGCACGGACGCUGGCGUAAUGGUCGCAAACGACCCGUCUUGAAACACGGACCAAGGAGUCUAACAUCUACGCGAGUGUUCGGGUGUCAAACCCGUACGCGCAGUGAAAGCGAACGGAGGUGGGAGCCCCCCCGGGGCGCACCAUCGACCGAUCCUGAUGUCUUCGGAUGGAUUUGAGUAAGAGCGUAGCUGUGGGGACCCGAAAGAUGGUGAACUAUGCCUGAAUAGGGCGAAGCCAGAGGAAACUCUGGUGGAGGCUCGCAGCGGUUCUGACGUGCAAAUCGAUCGUCAAAUUUGGGUAUAGGGGCGAAAGACU
rnacentral:rRNA from 1 species